UAUUUGUGUCGUGUCAUAAAUCACUGGAGUUGAUUCACGUUGACACACACCUUUCACAACCUCUCCACUUCUGAGGUCUUGGAUGUCUUACUGAGAAGGCAGAGAAAGUGUCACUCACAGCUCCCAUGGGCUCUCAGAAGCACAGUUUUGGAAGGAUCUGAGGAGUGUUUCUGUGCUGUGCUUUCACUCCUGUGUUCAACAGUGUUGUCCUCAUGCGGAUCUAUUCAUUCGUCACUUACCACCAUAUCUCACCAUUCCAGGAACCUACUGAACUCAUGCUCUUUAGACCUGACCCGACUGUUAACUGCAGAGGUCUCACUGUGAAAUCAAGUCUCUAAAGGAAUACACUUCCCUGUAACCUGCUAUCCAGGGACAAAAGUGGCUGCUCUUUGUUGUGGGAUGUCUUUCUGUAUGUUGUGGAUAUAUGUGGCUCCCAUUUGGAUAAUAAAUAAAGCUGUUUUGGCCUACGGCAA